GGGGAAUAUUGGGCAAUGGGGGCAACCCUGACCCAGCAACGCCGCGUGAAGGAAGAAGGCCUUCGGGUUGUAAACUUCUUUGACCAGGGACGAAGGAAGUGACGGUACCUGGAAAACAAGCCACGGCUAACUACGUGCCAGCAGCCGCUGUAAUACGUAGGUGGCGAGCGUUGUCCGGAUUUACUGGGGGUAAAGGGCGCGUAGGCGGGGAUGCAAGUCAGAUGUGAAAUCUGAGGGCUUAACCCUCACACUGCAUUUGAAACUGUAUCUCUUGAGUGAUGGAGAGGCAGGCGGAAUUCCUAGUGUAGCGGUGAAAUGCGUAGAUAUUAGGAGGAACACCAGUGGCGAAGGCGGCCUGCUGGACAUUAACUGACGCUGAGGCGCGAAAGCGUGGGGAGCAAAC
rnacentral:rRNA from 1 species